UACAGAGGGGCAAGCGUUAUUCGGAAUUAUUGGGCGAAAGGGCGCGUAGGCGGCUUGGCAAGUGGAUGGUGAAAUCCCUCGGCUUAACCGAGGAACUGCCGUCCAAACUGCUUAGCUUGAGACCGGGAGAGGUGAGUGGAAUUCCCAGUGUAGCGGUGAAAAUGCGUAGAUAUUGGGAGGAACACCAGUGGCGAAGGCGGCUCACUGGACCGGAACUGACGCUGAGGAGCGAAAGCGUGGGGAGCGAACAGG
rnacentral:rRNA from 1 species